rnacentral:rRNA from 1 species
GAUGAACGCUGGCGGCGCGCCUAACACAUGCAAGUCGAACGGGAACACCCGUAGCAAUAUGGGUGUUUUAGUGGCGGACGGGUGAGUAACGCGUGAGGAACCUGCCUUUCGGAGGGGAAUAACACAUCGAAAGAUGUGCUAAUACCGCAUAAUGUCAUCGGGCGGCAUCGCCUGAUGACCAAAAGAGCAAUCUGCCGAAAGAUGGCCUCGCGUCCGAUUAGAUAGUUGGUGAGGUAACGGCCCACCAAGUCUGCGAUCGGUAGCCGGACUGAGAGGUUGAACGGCCACAUUGGGACUGAGACACGGCCCAGACUCCUACGGGAGGCAGCAGUGGGGGAUAUUAGUCAAUGGAGGAAACUCUGAACUAGCGACGCCGCGUGAGGGAAGAAGGUCUUCGGAUUGUAAACCUCUGUCUUCGGGGACGAUAAUGACGGUACCCGAGGAGGAAGCUCCGGCUAACUACGUG